UGGUACUGAGACACGGACCAGACUCCUACGGGAGGCAGCAGUGAGGAAUAUUGGUCAAUGGGAGAGAUCCUGAACCAGCCAAGCCGCGUGAGGGAAGACGGCCCUAUGGGUUGUAAACCUCUUUUGUCGGAGAACAAAACCCGGGACGAGUCCCGGACUGCGUGUAUCCGAAGAAAAAGCAUCGGCUAACUCCGUGCCAGCAGCCGCGGUAAUACGGAGGAUGCGAGCGUUAUCCGGAUUUAUUGGGUUUAAAGGGUGCGUAGGCGGUCUGUUAAGUCAGCGGUAAAAUUGCGGGGCUCAACCCCGUCGAGCCGUUGAAACUGGCAGACUUGAGUUGGCGAGAAGUACGCGGAAUGCGCGGUGUAGCGGUGAAAUGCAUAGAUAUCGCGCAGAACUCCGAUUGCGAAGGCAGCGUACCGGCGCCAGACUGACGCUGAGGCACGAAAGCGUGGGGAUCGAACAGGAUUAGAUACCCUGGUAGUCCACGCAGUAAACGAUGAAUGCUGGUUGUCCGGGUCGAAUGAGACCUGG
rnacentral:rRNA from 1 species